GACGUAGGGCGCGAGCGUUGUCCGGAUUUAUUGGGCGUAAAGAGCUCGUAGGCGGCUUGUCGCGUCGACCGUGAAAACUUGGGGCUCAACCCCAAGCCUGCGGUCGAUACGGGCAGGCUCGAGUUCGGUAGGGGAGACUGGAAUUCCUGGUGUAGCGGUGAAAUGCGUAGAGAUGGGGGAGAACACUCGUGGCGAAGGCGGGUCUCUGGGCCGAUACUGACGCUGAGGAGCAAAAGCGUGGGGAGCGAACAGG
rnacentral:rRNA from 1 species